AUUGAACGCUGGCGGCAGGCCUAACACAUGCAAGUCGAGCGGCAGCGGAAAGUAGCUUGCUACUUUGCCGGCGAGCGGCGGACGGGUGAGUAAUGUCUGGGAAACUGCCUGAUGGAGGGGGAUAACUACUGGAAACGGUAGCUAAUACCGCAUAACGUCGCAAGACCAAAGAGGGGGACCUUCGGGCCUCUUGCCAUCAGAUGUGCCCAGAUGGGAUUAGCUAGUAGGUGGGGUAACGGCUCACCUAGGCGACGAUCCCUAGCUGGUCUGAGAGGAUGACCAGCCACACUGGAACUGAGACACGGUCCAGACUCCUACGGGAGGCAGCAGUGGGGAAUAUUGCACAAUGGGCGCAAGCCUGAUGCAGCCAUGCCGCGUGUAUGAAGAAGGCCUUCGGGUUGUAAAGUACUUUCAGCGGGGAGGAAGGUGUUGAGGUUAAUAACCUCAGCAAUUGACGUUACCCGCAGAAGAAGCACCGGCUAACUCCGUGCCAGCCGCCGCCGCGG
rnacentral:rRNA from 1 species